rnacentral:rRNA from 1 species
CGCCUCCUGAGUUCCACAUAUAGGAGGUCCCGCCUGCCCUGUGAUAUUAAUUUAACGGCCGCGGUAUUUUGACCGUGCAAAGGUAGCGCAAUCACUUGUCUUUUAAAUGAAGACCUGUAUGAAUGGCAUAACGAGGGCUUAACUGUCUCCCCUCCCUGAUCGAUGAAAUUGAUUUUUCCGUGCAGAAGCGGAAAUAUUAACAUAAGACGAGAAGACCCUGUGGAGCUUUAGACAAUAACUAGUCCCUGUAAAGAUCCCUCACCUAACGAAAUAAAACAAAGGGGGGCCUAGUUUGCUGUCUUUGGUUGGGGCGACCGCGGGGGAACACGAAUCCCCCAUGUGGAAGAAGAAAAAAUUUCUUUAAACUGAGAACGUUAGCUCAAAGCGCCAGAACGUCUGACCUAAAAUGACCCGGCAAAGCCGAUCAACAGAAUCAGUUACCCCAGGGAUAACAGUGCAAUCCUCCCCCAGAGCCCAUAUCGACGGGAGGGUUUACGACCUCGAUGUUGGAUCAGGAUAUCCUAAUGGUGCAGCCGCUAUUAAGGGUUCGUUUGUUCAACGAUUAAAAUCCU